rnacentral:rRNA from 1 species
UGGGGAAUUUUCCGCAAUGGGCGAAAGCCUGACGGAGCAAUGCCGCGUGGAGGUGGAAGGCCUACGGGUCGUCAACUUCUUUUCUCGGAGAAGAAACAAUGACGGUAUCUGAGGAAUAAGCAUCGGCUAACUACGUGCCAA